rnacentral:rRNA from 1 species
UACGUAGGGACCAAGCGUUGUUCGGAUUUACUGGGCGUAAAGGGCGCGUAGGCGGCGUGGCAAGUCACUUGUGAAAUCUCUGAGCUUAACUCAGAACGGCCAAGUGAUACUGCUGUGCUAGAGUGCAGAAGGGGCAAUCGGAAUUCUUGGUGUAGCGGUGAAAUGCGUAGAUAUCAAGAGGAACACCUGAGGUGAAGACGGGUUGCUGGGCUGACACUGACGCUGAUGCGCGAAAGCCAGGGGAGCAAACGGG